rnacentral:rRNA from 1 species
UACAGAGGUCUCAAGCGUUGUUCGGAAUCACUGGGCGUAAAGGGUGCGUAGGCCGCACGGUAAGUCAGAGGUGAAAUCCCGGAGCUCAACUCCGGAAUGGCCUCCGAUACUGCCGUGCUUGAGGACUGGAGAGGAGUCUGGAAUUCACAGUGGAGCAGUGAAAUGCGUAGAUAUCAGGAGGAACACCAAUGGCGAAGGCAGCACUCUGGGACGUGACUGACGCUGAGACGCGAAAGCGUGGGGAGCAAACAGG